rnacentral:rRNA from 1 species
GACGAACGCUGGCGGCGUGCCUAAUACAUGCAAGUAGGACGCAGUUGCGAACGGGUGCGUAACGCGUAGGUAACUGCCUAUUAGAGGGGGAUAACUAUUGGAAACGAUAGCUAAUACCGCAUACUAGUAGAUGGACCUGCGUUGUAUUAGCUAGUAGGUUGGGUAAUGGCCUACCUAGGCGACGAUACAUAGCCGACCUGGAAGGGUGAUCGGCCACACUGGGACUGAGACACGGCCCAGACUCCUACGGGAGGCAGCAGUAGGGAGUCUACGGCAAUGGGGGAAACCCAGACCGAGCAACGGCGCGUGAGUGAAGAAGGUUUUCGGAGCGUAAAGCUCUGUUGUUAAGGAAGCGGUACUUAACCAGAAAGGGACGGCUAACUACAUGCCAGCAGCCGCGGUAAUUC